UCCAUGUUGGUCAGGCUGUUCUCGAACUCCCAACCUCAGAUGAUCCACCCACCUCAGCCUCCCAAAGUUCUGGGAUUAUAGGCAUGAGCCACCACACCUGGCCAUAUUUUUAUUUUUACAUGUGAAAACAUAUACUCAAAGUAGAAUGUAUCAAGAUUAUCUUAACCUCUUAAGGAUCCUCAAAAGUUUACAUCAAAAAGCCUGUUUUCAGCCUUUCAAGGAUUUAUUUGUAGAACUGGAAGUGUUUACUGGAAGAUGAUGAUAUGGCCAAGCCAAAGAAGGGAACCUGCAGUGAAGAGUACAGGUGUCUCUUGACCUACAUAUCCCAGAACUGUAAGAAAAACGUCCGGAUGGGCAUCAGAUAUCUAGUCCAGUCCUUGGACAAAAGUCUGGGCUUUGGAAACCAGGGGCAAGAGGUGAUGAAAACUAAUCUAUAGUAUUUAAAAUUCCCACCCCCCUAUUAAGACUCCACCCUCCCACAUCCCCCAAGCGUGAUUUUGCACAACAAGUUAAAUAAAAGUAAACUGUUUAUUAAAAGAUACAGCAAAGGUACAGAUACAGAGAUACAUACAAAGAUACAUAUAUAUAUAUAUUUACAUAUAUAUACAGUCUUGCUGUUUUCAUGUGCACUAUAUUUAGCAGCACAUUAUUUAAUCAGGCGGCAUUUUAAUGGGGUUGUUUUGACACUUGGCAUUAUUAAGAUACAACUAUAGCCCCAUAGAAAUUUCAAGGUGUGAAUUCCACUUCUCCGACUUUUAAUAGUAGCAAAGAGGGGAAGGAGAAGGGAAUGGAGUACCAAGGCUGAGCAUUAGGUUAAACACAAGAAUUUAAAAGGGCCAAGGUAGCAAAGGGAAGGAAAAAUAAUAACUAAAGGCUAUCUGACAAACAA